rnacentral:rRNA from 1 species
UACGUAGGGUGCAAGCGUUGUCCGGAAUUAUUGGGCGUAAAGAGCUCGUAGGCGGUCUGUCGCGUCGGAUGUGAAAACCCAGGGCUCAACCCUGGGCCUGCAUUCGAUACGGGCAGACUAGAGUUCGGUAGGGGAGACUGGAAUUCCUGGUGUAGCGGUGAAAUGCGCAGAUAUCAGGAGGAACACCGGUGGCGAAGGCGGCUUUCUGGACGACAACUGACGCUGAGACGCGAAAGCGUGGGGAGCAAACAGG